ensembl:lncRNA
CAGCGAAUGCAACUCCAGGAGGAAGCCGCUGCCGGAGCCCAGAGCAAACUGUGCCCACGUGACCGCGGCCGCUCACGUGACGCCGCAGCAGAUCACGCAGGGCUACGCUCACGUGAGUGGGCGUGGUCACUCGGUAGGCCGGGCCGGAGGGGCUUAGAAGGUAAUAGCAGCGUGAGUUCUUCACUCGCAACUUUCUAGGCGGGGGGCCUCUACCCUUCCUCCGCAGACCGCGCUGUUCUCUCGUUUCCUGCCUUGCUCCCACUGCCGACUCCACGCCGCUCCUCCGGAGAAAGUGCGGGCCUCCCCUCCGGCCCGACGCCAGGCUCCUCCUGCGCGAUCCCACCUGCGCGAAGGAGGCGAGAACGCGCGCAGCGCUCCUCUCAGCAUUACUCUCCGCAGCUUCUUUGGCUGCUCUUAAUAACACACCUUGAUUGAGCACCUUAUGAUGAGUCAAGUUACGUUUCAGCAACCAUGACCUGAGAAUCUAUGUCUUUCACACAUUUUGCCUGGUACCUUGCCUUUGACUGUCACUGGUGUGGACCAAGCUUUUCACCUCUCAGCUCUGGGACUCAGCCUAGGUGUACAGAAGUUCUGAGGAACCUCCAAGAACAAAUCCCAUUUCCAGGCCACCAGGUCUUCCAGCUGUUUACUUUACUCCAGGUGGCCCUACUGCUGCCCCUCGUUUGCUGGCUCAGGCCUCCCCUUCUGCCUGGACAGCCUGCCCCUUGAUGUUCUCCCAACCUGCCGACUCUUCUAAACCCACCACAGACCCAGCCUGUCUUGAAUGGUUUCCUACCUUAAAGAUUCACAAACUGCUUCAUCACAUUCCAAAGAACACCAGCCUCUAUGUAUACAGAUGGUGUAGGAGACUGUCCUAUACGUAUUACUCAGCAAAGCAUCUCCCUCCAGGGGUCUCAGGAGAGACACUGUGGACCACCGACACAGCAUGGAAAAUGUGGAGGUUUGCAGGGUGAACCCAAACAGAAGUGAAGAGGUCACUUGGAGCAUACAAGAUCGAACCCAAAGAACCAGGGGAUCUUCCCAGUGCAGGGAUCAAGCCUGGAGCUGUGUCUGGAGCUGUGACAGCCAUUCGAUAAUCAUGGAGCUACAGGUGAGUCUAUGGACAAAAAGCCAAACAGCUGAGGAGAGCUGUGCAGAAGGAUGGAGAAAGGCUGAAUCCUUCAAACCAUCAGGGAGACACCCGACUCCACACCACUGCAGAGUCCACAACGUUGAUGAGUUUUCCCACAGUUGAAAGCUGCCCAGCACCCACUGGGGGUGAAGCACUGAAAUAAAAUAAGGAAAAUUUAGUCUUUAUAAAACCUGGAAGUGAUAACUUCUCAAGAAACCUACCAUGUAACCCCUUGGAGAAGAUGCUUAGGUUCUAAGAAGAUAAUUAUUUGUGUUAGGCUGCCUCUGAAGGCAAGAAACGGAAACUCCAGCUUCAGUGAACAUAAGAAAUGAGCUCCAGGAUCAGCAGAUUUGGGUGCUCAACGUCAUCAGGAACCCGGGCUCCUCAUCUCUCCUCUGCUCAGCCAUUCUUCAGAUGGGCUUCAUCGCGAGACUGUUGGCAAGAUAGGGGCGCACUUACAUGGGGCACACCCAGACACAAUAUACAUGCUCUGCCCGUCUUCCCAUUGUCCCUCAGACCUGGCGUUCAGUUGUCUUCUCCUUGUCCUCUCCCUCCAGCUGCAUCUGCUCGCACUUCUUCACACAUCCAGUGGACUCUGGCCUCGGGGCCUCUGCACUUGCGGUCCCCUCGACCUACAGUGUCCACCUGGCUCCCUCAUCUCUCCUUCAGGUCCUUACUUAAAUAUUACUUUCUCAGUGAGGUCUGCUUUGACUAUGCUAUUUUAAAUUAUAACCAACUCCCCAUCCUCUUUCAGGUUUACUUUUUCUCCACAGCGUGUAACUGCACGCAACAAAGGGUUCAUUCCCUUGCCUCUUGGUCUCCGCCUGCCUAGGUGUGCUCCAGGAGCAUGGAGACUUACAGCUUGCCCCCUCCUCACUUCCCUCAGGCCUAGCAGGAUGAGUGUUCCAUGAAUACCUUGGAGAAAAGACGGGCCGAGACGGACAACAUCCAAACGAAGAAGUCGGGGAGGAAAGAUGUUUUCAAAGAUGGCGUCCCCAUGUCGCGCACCCCCACCCAAGCCUUCCCCCAUGCAUAUCUUAUCCAGAUUCUUUUUAUGUGGGGCUUCAACCAGUAACCAGCAAGGAGAAGGGACUUUCUUCGGCUCCUCGAACUACAGCCCAAUCCAUGCCUCACUUCGCCGGACUCUGGUUUCCACGCCCAUCUGCGCUCCACCACGGUUAUCAACGUUUCCAAGUCCAGUGGGGCCUCUAGGUUCUUAUCAGCUUACCACCGCAGCCCCCUCUCCAGCCCCAAUUCUCUGGGUAUCUGGCUCACUUCAAAGUCAUUGUACUAUAAGGACCCCCAUCAAUGCCAGCGUCACGUCCUGUUCUCCACCCGUUUCCAAUUUCUUCUUCUGGGAAAUAAGCUCCAAGCCUUGAACAACUGAAGCAGGUUUGCUGUGAAACCCUGAGGGCUUCGAAAUCACACUAACCGCAGCCAGAAACCAGGUCCCCGAGCUAGGUUGUGGGCGCGGGGUGGCGCCGACCUGGCCGCGCUCCCUGGAGAGAGAAGUCUCCACUGCCCCUUGUCCCCCUGCCC